rnacentral:rRNA from 1 species
CCUACGGGUGGCUGCAGUCGAGAAUCAUUCACAAUGGGGGAAACCCUGAUGGUGCGACGCCGCGUGGGGGAAUGAAGGUCUUCGGAUUGUAAACCCCUGUCAUGUGGGAGCAAAUUAAAAAGAUAGUACCACAAGAGGAAGAGACGGCUAACUCUGUGCCAGCAGCCGCGGUAAUACAGAGGUCUCAAGCGUUGUUCGGAAUCACUGGGCGUAAGGCGUGCGUAGGCUGUUUCGUAAGUCGUGUGUGAAAGGCGCGGGCUCAACCCGCGGACGGCACAUGAUACUGCGAGACUAGAGUAAGGGAGGGGGAACCGGAAUUCUCGGUGUAGCAGUGAAAUGCGUAGAUAUCGAGAGGAACACUCGUGGCGAAGGCGGGUUCCUGGACAUUAACUGACGCUGAGGCUCGAAAGCGUGGGGAGCAAACAGGAUUAGAUACCCCUGUAGUC